rnacentral:rRNA from 1 species
AUGUUUCCAAAGGACCAUGACAAUGAAACUCAGGAGUUCAUGAAAGAAAACCCACGCCAGGCCAGAUUUCACUUGUCCACAUUGGCAAAGGAAUCAGUCAAGCUUUCACCCUCUACUGAAGCAUUCGUUGCAAGGUUUUGCGCUUCUAGAAGCUUCAUCUGCCGCUCAGCAUGCUCCCUCUCACACUGGCUAAUGCCCAUGAUGAUGUCAAGCAUAGUUCCAGUAGUCCCAAAGAACACCAGAGGAGCGAAGGACUUCCGCUUUAUGCCCACAGGAAUAGCAAGGAGAGCACCAGCAACAGAGAAGACCCAAGUUCCGAGGGCACUGCAUGCGCAUGUGAAACUGAAUCAGCAUAACAUGUUCCAAGCAAACGUGCUGCCUAAAGAGCUGCUGGUUAUAGUCUAUCUUUUUCUAGACAUAUAUGCAAAGUCUACAAAUCUACACUUGCCAUUUAUUGGUGCUAAGUUUAGUACGGUAAGUCCAAAAAUCUACAGCGCAUGUUCACUGGUCUUUUAA